UGGGGAAUAUUGCACAAUGGGCGCAAGCCUGAUGCAGCCAUGCCGCGUGUGUGAAGAAGGCCUUCGGGUUGUAAAGCACUUUCAGCGGGGAGGAAGGCGUUAAGGUUAAUAACCUUGGCGAUUGACGUUACCCGCAGAAGAAGCACCGGCUAACUCCGUGCCAGCAGCCGCGGUAAUACGGAGGGUGCAAGCGUUAAUCGGAAUUACUGGGCGUAAAGCGCACGCAGGCGGUCUGUCAAGUCGGAUGUGAAAUCCCCGGGCUCAACCUGGGAAAUGCAUUCGAAACUGGCAGGCUAGAGUCUUGUAGAGGGGGGUAGAAUUCCAGGUGUAGCGGUGAAAUGCGUAGAGAUGUGGAGGAAUACCGGUGGCGAAGGCGGCCCCCUGGACAAAGACUGACGCUCAGGUGCGAAAGCGUGGGGAGCAAACAGG
rnacentral:rRNA from 1 species